GCCGGGUUAGCUCAAUCGGUAGAGCGUGUGGCUCUUAUCACCAAGUCACCACAAGGUUAGGGGUUCGACCCCCCUAUUCGGCU
rnacentral:tRNA from 1 species